rnacentral:rRNA from 1 species
AUACGGAGGAUCCGAGCGUUAUCCGGAUUUAUUGGGUUUAAAGGGUGCGCAGGCGGGAGAUUAAGUCGGCGGUGAAAUUUUGCAGCUCAACUGUAAAAGUGCCUUCGAAACUGGUUUCCUUGAGUGUAGAUGAAGUAGGCGGAAUUUGUGGUGUAGCGGUGAAAUGCAUAGAUAUCACGAGGAACUCCGAUUGCGCAGGCAGCUUACUAAACUACUACUGACGCUCAGGCACGAAGGCGUGGGGAUCAAACAGGAUUAGAUACCCUGGUAGUCCACGCAGUAAACGAUGAUUACUAGCUGUUUGUGAUGCAAUGUAAGCGGCUGAGCGAAAGCGUUAAGUAAUCCACCUGGGGAGUACGUUCGCAAGAAUGAAACUCAAAGGAAUUGACGGGG